rnacentral:misc_RNA from 1 species
GAAAUAAGUCACCAAAGAUGGGGCAUACUUUUGAAAUCCAACUCCAUAUUGAAUAAUCGAACUCAAGUAUCAAAGUGUUAAGGCAUAACAAAAAUCGAAUCAAUAUAAAAUUAUCAACACCGAGUAUAGCAUCUGUUCUUUAGAAAUAUUCCAAUCUCAAUGAAAUAUCUGCUCUUAUCAAGUCAUAUUCGAAAUCAAAGCAAUGAAGUCUCAAAUCAAGCAGCAAAGAAUUUGUAAUCGAAAUUAUAGGUCUCACAAUAGAGAUCACCG